UGGGUCAUGGUCCUACUAAGGCACUUUUUGAUAGCGCUAGGAUUUCUGAUUUGUUGGAAGUCUCUAUUCGCCCCCCCUACUUUUGAUUCAGCGCUUUUUCCGAUUGCUUUGAGCUUUUGGUCCUCUGAGUAUAACACCUUUAUUUUUCCUCUUGGUCCCAUGUCUAUUACGUUAAGGGAUGUUGGGGCCCUGGUAAAUUUACCACCUUUGGGUGAUACCGUUUUCCCAGGCAUCUUAGUUUCUGGUGGCGCCCCUCAG
rnacentral:lncRNA from 1 species